rnacentral:sRNA from 1 species
CUGAAAUGGUUUCCGUGACUAUGACUUGCAUAAU